rnacentral:rRNA from 2 species
CUCCCUGAGACUUUAAGUCUCCUGAAGGAACGUUGAAGACGACGACGUUGAUAGGCCGGGUGUGUAAGCGCAGCGAUGCGUUGAGCUAACCGGUACUAAUGAACCGUGAGGCUUAACCUUACAACGCCGAAG